rnacentral:rRNA from 1 species
AACGAACGCUGGCGGCAUGCCUAACACAUGCAAGUCGAACGAGACCUUCGGGUCUAGUGGCGCACGGGUGCGUAACGCGUGGGAACCUGCCCUUAGGUUCGGAAUAACUCCCCGAAAGGGGUGCUAAUACCGGAUAAUGUCUUCGGACCAAAGAUUUAUCGCCUUUGGAUGGGCCCGCGUUGGAUUAGCUCGUUGGUAGGGUAAAAGCCUACCAAGGCGACGCUCCAUAGCUGGUCUGAGAGGAUGGUCAGCCACACUGGGACUGAGACACGGCCCAGACUCCUACGCGAGGCAGCAGUGGGGAAUAUUGGACAAUGGGCUAAAGCCUGAUCCAGCAAUGCUGCGUGAGUGAUGAAGUCCUUAGGGUUGUAAAGCUCUUUUACCCGGGAUGAUAAUGACAGCACCGGGAGAAUAAGCACCGGCUAACUCCGUG